AUACUGUGGAUCAGAGAUUUGAACACAGCACAGCAGAAUGAUGUGUUCUGUCCCAUGAUCACUGAGGACUGCAGCUGGGAGACUCCAAGAGUGGGGCUGGAAUCAUCUGAUGGCUCAUUCUUUGCAUGCCUGGUGCUUCUCCUCUGUGUGGACCCCUCCAUGUGAUGCCAGUCAAAAUAGUAAUCCCGUCUAUGUCAAAAGUUACCCAGGGUGGCCACUGCGACUUCAAAUUGUUCUUGGAAAAUAAUGGCAUUCGCAUAACUAAGACUUGUAGUGUGGAAAUAUGGAAUAAACAGGUAUGUGGCCUGGUUGGGGCACAGACUCAGACUGAGAUGAUCCCUCAAGCAUUGUGGUGGUUGGUAGAAUGAUGAGUAUGCAGUCUCAUGUCUCCAGAACCUGGCCCAGAGCCAGCUGUCCUCAACUGUGGAGCCAAGGACCCUCCUGUGCUCUGUGUGCUUGUCCACAGCUUGAGUGUUGUUCAUCUGUAAGAAGACAUCUCUAGAGUGACGGCAGACAUAGCCCUUGCAGCUGGCUGGAGGAGGGACUUCUUCAAGCCACAUCUGCCCUCUCCUUGUAGACAACCCCUUACAGACGAACAACACUCAAUUCACUGAAGGGCUUAGCGAAAUAUUUGGAGCUCAGACUGACACUCACCUUGCUGUCGCAGGCAGACUGUGGCCUCAGACAAAAGGUGACUCCAGGGGUCUCAGAUGUGCAUGCAGUCACCACAUCAAGGGCCUGGUCUGCAGGAUGGAGGGUCUCGGCUGAGUCAUGCUGGGCCCUCCACCUGUUGCAGCCCACUAACCUAAGACCACCAGGGUCACAUCAAUGGCCAAGCAAGGUAAGCUUAUUUAGCCGGCUGCAGCAAGGGAGAAACUUCACUCCCGAUGCGUCUCAGCCUCCGUGGCUCUGACUUUACCGGGUUGCUGUAAUUUUCCACACGCUGCACAGAAUUUCCGGUUGUGCGCACACUCCAUUGCUGCACAGUGGGACAAGUCAGCCUUCGCUUCCUUGGGCUCUCGCGGCGUCAGCCCUGCUGCUCCCUCGGAGGUGUGGCACAACCCUCUUCUGAGGGGCCCGUUGCGGCCACACCACCUCUCUCCUUUGUUCCCCAGCCCUCACUGCAGUGCUGCACGGGGUGGCCGGUGAUAUCACGACUACCUGAGCCUGGAGCCGGGGGUGGUAUCCGCAUUUGCUCUUUAUCCUCUUGCCACCUUCCAGCUCCCUGUGUUAGCCUCCUUUUGAUUGAUACACCACGUGCAGUUUCUGGAUGUUUUGUUUUUUGGGCUGAACCCUGACAAGCACAACUCCUUAAGCUGGAGCCUGGGUCCCUUCUGCCUGCUCUUUUUCUCGUCUUUCUUCUGGCUG
ensembl:lncRNA